AAUAUGCCGCCUGGGAAGUACGAGCGCAAGCUUAAAACUCAAAGGAAUAGACGGGGAUCCGCACAAGUGGUGGAGCAUGUGGUUUAAUUCGACGGUAAGCGAGGCACCUCACCAGGGUUUGAAAUCUAGCUGGAGAUCUCAGAAAUGAGAAGUCCUUCGAGGCCGCUAGACCAGGUGCUGCAUGGUUGUCGUCAGCUCGUGUCGUAAGAUGUUCCGUUCAGUCGGGAAACGAGCGCAACCCUCAUCAAGUGUUAUACAUGUCACUUGAGACUGCCCAGCCCAGAAUUCAUGAAAGCAAUUUCGUGGGUUAUGGGCUGGGAGGAAGGCGGGGAUGACGUCAAAUCAGCAUGGCCCUCUGACACCCUGGGCGACACACGUGCUACAAUGGCCGACAUAAUGGGCUGCGAAAUCGCGAGAUGGAGCCAAUCCCAAAAAUUCGGUCUCAGUUCGGAUUGCAGGCUGCAACUCGCCUGCAUGAAGCUGGAAUCACUAGUAAUCGGGAAUCAGCCAUGUCCCGGUGAAUACGUUCUCGGAUCUUGUACUCACCGCCCGUCACACCAAAAGAGCUGGCAAUACCAGAAGGCCCAGGUAAAAGUGGGGACUACGGUAGGGUUAGUAAUAAGGGUGAAGUCGUAACAAGGUAACC
rnacentral:rRNA from 1 species